AGCGAACGCUGGCGGCAUGCCUAACACAUGCAAGUCGCACGGGGGGGCUUCGGCCUCCCCGUGGCGGACGGGUGAGGAACGCGUAGGGACCUGUCGAGGGGUGGGGGAUAACCGCGGGAAACUGCGGCUAAUACCGCAUGACGCCGCGGCGUGACAGCCGGGGCCAAAGGCGAGAGCCGCCCGCCGAGGGGCCUGCGUCCGAUUAGCUGGUUGGCGGGGUAGCGGCCCACCAAGGCGUCGAUCGGUAGCUGGUCUGAGAGGGUGAUCAGCCACACCGGGAGUGAGACACGGCCCGGACCCCUAGGGGAGGCGGGGGGGGGGAAUAUUGGAAAGUGGGCGCAAGCCUGACCCCGCAUGGCCGGGUGGGUAAAGAGGGUCUUGGGUUUGAAAACCCCUUUGGGGGGGGCGGAGGGGGCGGGUCCCCGAAAAAGAGCCCCCGGCUACCUUCGUG
rnacentral:rRNA from 1 species